rnacentral:lncRNA from 1 species
UCAGGCCGGGGGACUGUGAGCGAUGUACUCCACUUCCAGGCUUGGGCUAAUUACCUCCUAUGUGCGGUCCUAGCUCCUUGUUCUUCUUCCACAGCGGAUGUGCAUGAGCACAGGACUUGGAUGCUACUUACUGAAGGUAGUAAAGCCAGAAGAUGACAGAUACCUGGGUCUCUCAGUCUCUCUACACGGCUCACUCAUUUUGGACUUUUCAUGAGCAAAAAGUAAACUUUUAUCAUACACUUUUUCUGCAGUGUCAACAUCAUCUUCAUCAUUACUAUUACUACAAUCACCUUGAUUCAGAACCCAUCAGUCAAUGAAUGAACAACUGGAGCCUCACUAUUGGUGUGAAUAAUUUCUUUGAUAUCCACUUCUUCCAGCUUGCUGAUAGACUCUGAAGUAUCCUCAGCUCUUGGCCCAGUGAGUCUUCUGUGCAUGCUGCUGGGGGAAAUCAGCCAGAACUGCUCUGCUGGACAAGAUUCUCAGAAUAGAGGCUGCUAACAAGCCCAGAUGGCAGUUGCAGCCAUCUUGUGACUAGAAGAAGAGGAAGCUCCAUACUCAGGGGCUCCAGAACACUAGAGUCACAGUCCUGAGACACAUACCUGGAGGCUGCCCUGCGUGUGG